GUCGGUGGCGAUAAUACUAAGGAAACACCUGAUACCAUUCCGAACUCAGAAGUUAAGCUUAGAGAUGCCGAAGGUAGUCGCAAGGCGAGAAUAGGAAACUGCCGACU
rfam:Candidatus Hepatoplasma crinochetorum Av, complete genome.